AACAACGAAACUUGGAGCUUGACGAUCGUAUUAAAGUGCAUGCAGUCUGCUUGACCACAUUGAAUACAUCAUUUUACGGUAGCAAUAUGCAGAUGUCAUUUCAUAUUGGUGAAAACGAAAUUAUUUUGUUUGACGAAUGGCAUGUAGUGGAUUGGCAAGGGCUUGGAUGGUCAAUGCUUGGAAUUAUACUUUUAGUGACUAUAUAUGAAGGAUUAAAGAGUUAUCGCGAUCACCUUUACAUUGAGACUGCACGCCUUUCAAGACUUACAAGUAAAAAAUCAAGAACGACAUUACUCUUCUCCAAAGUACAUUUCAUUCAAACAGUCACACAUGUAAUACAACUGAUCAUCGGAUAUUUUCUUAUGUUAAUUUUUAUGACAUACAACUUUUGGCUGUGUUUGGCUGUUGCAAUUGGUACUGCUCUAGGAUAUUGGCUAUUUUCCUGGGGAAAGUCCAGCGGUGACAAUAUCGACUGCUGUUUGUAAUAUACGUUCUAGUAUACUAUCUACAACAAAUCGGAACUUGGACAGACAGGAAAUGUUUUAAUCAACUGAAGAUAAAAAUUUGUUAAUUGAUGUUGCCUGCUUAUUGAAAGAAGUUAUUUACACCAUAGUCAUAAUCCACCUGUGUCUCUAUAAAAUUAAUCAAUACAGAUCAAUUAUAACAUAUUUAAUAUAAACUUAGAGUGGAACAAAUUGAAGAUGAUACCUAAUAGUGAAAGUACAGAAACAAUUUAUAACAGAAGCACACCAUGUGUGUACAGAAGGCAAUUUGAAUCAGUAAAUGAUAUAUUGUUUGGAUGGGAUAAAUUUAACGCUGUGACAUUUCUUAUACUGAUCUGUCUGUUCUGUAUUUGGUGUAUAACAUUUUUCCUAAUGUAUCAUCCCCACACAUCUCAUGACGGCCAUGACGACCAUGCAGGCCACGAAGGUCAUCAUGAUUCACAUAUGUAAAUUUGUCCUUUUUGACAGUUCAACUUUCUAACAAACAUUUCAAAAAGUCAUGAGAAACACAGAUAUAUCAGGUUAAGAUAUUAUAUUAUUUCUAGAUUCACAGUGAGACAUUAAAGACUUUAGUAAUGAAGUCCCUCAUGUGUCUGUCUUUUAUAAAUUUUAUCUUCAUGUUCAAACGACUACAAAGAAUAUAAUUAUUCUUUAUUCAUUUAAUAUUGAAUAUUUUAAUAUUUAAAUUUGUACAGUUACUUGCAAUUAUUUUUCCUGGAAAAUAUACCAGAUAGUUAAUAAACAUUGGAGCAGCAAUUACUGAAAU